rnacentral:antisense_RNA from 1 species
GAGUGAAGGAACAUGGCUCUGAAUCAUGCCUGUCUGUCUCCCCAGGUCUGUGCUUAAAACCACGAAGUUCAAGAUGGAAACUGAAGGGAAGAGUGUCAAGGGGAUGGGAGAGAGGACUUGUCCAUGACUUUGGCAGCAUAAGGAAAAAAUACCCAGGGACAAGUGGCGACUUUGGAAACUCCAUUCCUCUGCAAAAUGACAUCACGAGGAGAGUGGUGGGGCCUGGGGGUGAAAAGAUCUGGCUUCUCCUCCCAACUCUGCUAUGAGGAAGCGCUGGAUGGCCCUGUCGGCCGCGGUCAUCGCCGCCUCGGCCCGGGAGCUCAGCAUUGCAGCCGCACCGGAGGCCUGAAACCGUCUCCUCCGCUACCGCCGCCGCCGCCGCCGCCGGACCGAGGGAUACGAAGGUUCCCGAGACAGCGGAACCUGCGGCCGCAGUCCCAGCACCUCGGGGGAACGUAGACCGCAGGACAGCUCCCAGGGGGACCGGAAGUAGCUGCCCCCGGAGAGCAAUAGCUGACGGACCACGUCCUUUCUUUCUUUUCCCUUAGCAACAGGCCCCGGCGUCGGUUGCUACGCUGGGCUCAGUUGCCUGGGGCUGCUUGGUUUUCAGAUUUGCUUAGGCUCCAUUCAUAAAUACAGAUGGCACACUUCUAGGAUGG